GGGAAACUAAGGCUGAGAGGUGAUUUGAUGAAGGUCAUACAGCAAGUGGUAGAAGGAAGACUAGAGUCCAGGAUUUGCCUGGUAUCCUCUGCCUCCACCUCGGUUGCCCACUGAUCUCAUGUUUGGAGCCUGGCAUGGAUUCUGGCACACGGAAGUUACCCAGCCUGGUUAUCGCUGAUUGGAUGACAGAUAUAAACAUAUUGUUGAGCUUUAUUCUGAGACACAGUUCAGUUCUACUGAAGUCUUGUCUUCCUGAUUCGUUAGGAGGAACAGAGCCAUGCCUAGUCCAAGGCUAAUUAUUCCUCACUGCUAAGAGUUUAGGAGGGAGGCAGUCAUCAAACAGAGGUCUCUAGUGGAAUGAGCCAGUGUUGAGACUUUGAAAAACAAAGAUCAGUCUGAAGAAGUUCAAAGAGAGGAAGAAAAAGGUAUGUUCCUAGUUAAAUGCACC
rnacentral:lncRNA from 1 species